CCUGCGGGGCCGCGGUCUUGGCGCAGCCGGCUCCCCUCACCUCCUGCUGCUAGUGGGCUGCGGCUUCCGCAAGCCCCCCACCUGCCUGCCUUGUGAGACCAGAGGCCACACAGCCUCUCUCAAGCCUCUAAACCAGUCGGAGCCCCACACAGCCCAAGGUCUCACCUUUUAGCUAGGUCCCAAUGCCUGGUGACUCGUCUUCAGCCCUUGGUACGAGCUGGGGGUGGGAAAUCAGAAAGGGUCCUAUUAACAGACCCACCAGCUGUACAUGCCCACCCAGCUCAUUCCCAGCAGGCCUGGCACAUCAGCUAAGAUAAGGAGGGCCAGAUGAACUGCCUAUCUGGUGGUGUGGGUGGAGGCAAGUCUCAGACUUCCCAGGCCCUCCAGGUUUGAGAACCUUCCUUAUGCAGCACCCCACUCCCUCCCAACAGAAACCUGGGGACUGCUGUGUCACCAGAGGUGUCAUUUCCUAGCUGUCUGGGUGAGGUUGGCUAAACGGUGGACUCCCAGGCACCUGUUCGGGGAGGAUGGGUUUGGGCAGGACCUGUUGUCCAGUGUUCCUGUGAGGACAGCCCUGAUUAGACUGCUGAAAGCUCUGAUCACUUGCUACCCGUUUGACCAGGGAGCCAGUUCCCGUCACUGCAAGCAGAACAGGAAGACCGGCACUCAAGGCCACUGGGAAGCAGAGUAGUAUGGGUGUGUGCAGCAGAGGAGCCACAUUCCAGAGCCCUAUGUGGGCAAGACAAGGCACAAGCAGGUCAGAGUCUUCUGGAACUAGGAGAUGGGAACACCUCCUGGUCCCAAACCCUCACUCUCCAUUCAUUAGAGAUUCACUGGGGUUAACAGGCUCCUCUAGACAGUGAGCUUGGCAAGAAGCCACAUUUUCCUUACUUCCCUCCAUAUCACCUGCCAAGCCCAGAGCCUGCUAGUAGUGGGUGCUCAAUAAACUCUUGUAAUAAUGAGUCAGCUGAUUGGGUGGCACAGCCAGGAGACUUGGGUUCUAGUGUCAGCUCUCCCUAUCUGUGCGAUGUCCUGAAGCAAAUGGCUUUCUUCUUGGGCCUCAUUUCCCUCAUUUGUUAAAUGAGGGCUCUUUCAUUCCACAAAGCUAGCAUUCUGGCAUCAAGAACUACAGUAACACACAAGGAAUUAUUAAAACACUGUGUCAAUUUUACCUCAAUAAGGCUGAAGAGAAAACAUAUCAUGAGAUCUUUGAUGAACAUAAUAAAGACACUUGCCAACACAGUAUUACUGGACUAAAUGUCUCAGUUUACCUGCAUGCACCAAAGCCCAAUCAAACAUGAACAGGAGUUUGCAGCCAAGAAAAUAAAGGUUAUUUUUAAGGAAAUGGCACCACAACUGGAGUCACAGGUGAGCUCAUGCUCAAAGACCUUGCUCCUGAUGGUUUCCAGGAGAUAGGUUAUGAGAGGGAAAGUCAUUAAUCAUGGUAGCUAAAGGACUUGGGGUCAUGGGCUCUGCUGACCGGUUGAGGCCAAUGUAGGGAGUAGUUGACCAUUGUAUCAGGUCCUGAUGCCAGCCAUGGCAUUCUGUCUGAUUGCAGGAGGGUGUGGUUCGUAGGGUCAUUGUACUUUCAUGGGCCGGGGGUUGAAAUAACUGAAAUCAAGAUGUUAUCCUUAGCUUGAAGGAAACUCUGUUUCUGUGGUGAACAGACCUGAGGCUUUGUUCUUAGACAGUUUGAUGCUGACCAGAAUCUGAUGUUCUAAGGGCCUAAUGAUUAAGGGAAGCAAUGGAAGGACAGAGAGGGAAAAGGGUCAUAUUAAAGAAAUGAAGUUUCAUGCCUUGUCUGGUGUGGCUCAGUGGAUUGAGUGCCGGCCUGUGAACCAAAGUGUCCCU